UGGGGAAUAUUGCGCAAUGGGCGAAAGCCUGACGCAGCGACGCCGCGUGAGGGAUGAAGGCCUUCGGGUCGUAAACCUCUUUCAGCAGGGAAGAAGCGAAAGUGACGGUACCUGCAGAAGAAGCACCGGCUAACUACGUGCCAGCAGCCGCGGUAACACGUAGGGUGCAAGCGUUGUCCGGAAUUAUUGGGCGUAAAGAGCUCGUAGGCGGUCUGUCGCGUCUGCUGUGAAAACUCAGGGCUUAACCCUGAGCUUGCAGUGGGUACGGGCAGACUAGAGUGCGGUAGGGGAGACUGGAAUUCCUGGUGUAGCGGUGAAAUGCGCAGAUAUCAGGAGGAACACCGGGUGGCGAAGGCGGGUCUCUGGGCCGUAACUGACGCUGAGGAGCGAAAGCAUGGGGAGCGAACAGGAUUAGAUACCCUGGUAGUCCAUGCCGUAAACGUUGGGCGCUAGGUGUGGGGCUCGAUUCCACGAGUUCCGUGCCGCAGCUAACG
rnacentral:rRNA from 1 species